rnacentral:rRNA from 1 species
GUCCACGCGGUAAACGAUGGGCACUAGGUGUGGGGGGUAUCCACUCCUCCCGUGCCGAAGCUAACGCAUUAAGUGCCCCGCCUGGGGAGUACGGCCGCAAGGUUAAAACUCAAAGGAAUUGACGGGGGCCCGCACAAGCGGUGGAGCAUGUGGUUUAAUUCGACGCAACGCGAAGAACCUUACCUGGGCUUGACAUCCCUGGAACUCCCUGGAAACAGGGAGGUGCCCUCGAAAGGGGGAGCCAGGAGACAGGUGCUGCAUGGCUGUCGU